rnacentral:rRNA from 1 species
GACGAACGCUGGCGGCGUGCCUAAUACAUGCAAGUUGAGCGAUGAAGAUUGGUGCUUGCACCAAUUUGAAGAGCAGCGAACGGGUGAGUAACGCGUGGGGAAUCUGCCUUUGAGCGGGGGACAACAUUUGGAAACGAAUGCUAAUACCGCAUAACAACUUUAAACAUAAGUUUUAAGUUUGAAAGAUGCAAUUGCAUCACUCAAAGAUGAUCCCGCGUUGUAUUAGCUAGUUGGUGAGGUAAAGGCUCACCAAGGCGAUGAUACAUAGCCGACCUGAGAGGGUGAUCGGCCACAUUGGGACUGAGACACGGCCCAAACGCCUACGGGAGGCAGCAGGAGGGAAUCUUCGGCAAUGGACGAAAGUCUGACCGAGAAACGCCGAGGGAGUGAAGAAGGUUGUCGGAUCGUAAAACUCGGUUGGUAGAGAAGAACGUUGGUGAGAGUGGAAAGCUCAUAAAGUGACGGUAACUACCCAGAAAGGGACGGCUAACUACGUG